ensembl:snRNA U4 U4 spliceosomal RNA
UGCUUUGCGCAGUGGCAGUAUCGUAGCCAAUGAGGUUAAUCUGAGGUGCGGUUAUUGCUAAUUGGGAAACUCAACUGUAUAAUUUGUGGUAGUGGGGGACUGCAUUUGUGCUUUCCCCUGUAAAUUUAAUAUCUUUUUAAGA